CCCCUUCAGCGAAGCGGGAGGAGGAACGGAGACCCUUCUGUUCCUCCUCCCGCUUUGCUGAAGGGCGCUGCGCAGCUCUCCCUCUCUGUGCAGCGCCUGUCCUGCGAAGCCGGAGGAGGAACAGAAGGGUCUCCUUCUGUUCCUUCUCCAGCUUCGCUGAAGGGGC